UACGUAGGUGGCAAGCGUUGUCCGGAAUUAUUGGGCGUAAAGCGCGCGCAGGCGGUCCUUUAAGUCUGAUGUGAAAGCCCUCGGCUCAACCGAGGAGGGUCAUUGGAAACUGGAGGACUUGAGUGCAGAAGAGGAAAGUGGAAUUCCAAGUGUAGCGGUGAAAUGCGUAGAGAUUUGGAGGAACACCAGUGGCGAAGGCGACUUUCUGGUCUGUAACUGACGCUGAGGCGCGAAAGCGUGGGUAGCGAACAGG
rnacentral:rRNA from 1 species